rnacentral:rRNA from 1 species
AGCAGCGAACGGGUGAGUAACGCGUGGGGAAUCUGCCUUUGAGCGGGGGACAACAUUUGGAAACGAAUGCUAAUACCGCAUAAAAACUUUAAACACAAGUUUUAAGUUUGAAAGAUGCAAUUGCAUCACUCAAAGAUGAUCCCGCGUUGUAUUAGCUAGUUGGUGAGGUAAAGGCUCACCAAGGCGAUGAUACAUAGCCGACCUGAGAGGGUGAUCGGCCACAUUGGGACUGAGACACGGUCCAAACUCCUACGGGAGGCAGCAGUAGGGAAUCUUCGGCAAUGGACGAAAGUCUGACCGAGCAACGCCGCGUGAGUGAAGAAGGUUUUCGGAUCGUAAAACUCUGUUGGUAGAGAAGAACGUUGGUGAGAGUGGAAAGCUCAUCAAGUGACGGUAACUACCCAGAAAGGGACGGCUAACUACGUGCCAGCAGCCGCGGUAAUACGUAGGUCCCGAGCGUUGUCCGGAUUUAUUGGGCGUAAAGCGAGCGCAGGUGGUUUAUUAAGUCUGGUGUAAAAGGCAGUGGCUCAACCAUUGUAUGCAUUGGAAACUGGUAGACUUGAGUGCAGGAGAGGAGAGUGGAAUUCCAUGUGUAGCGGUGAAAUGCGUAGAUAUAUGGAGGAACACCGGUGGCGAAAGCGGCUCUCUGGCCUGUAACUGACACUGAGGCUCGAAAGCGUGGGGAGCAAACAGGAUUAGAUACCCUGGUAGUCCACGCCGUA